CCGAGGAAGCAAGUUUGAAGCUUUUGGAAAUUGUAAUGCUGUAGAAGCUUCAAUUUUGAUUUUUAUGCCCAACCCUGCUGAGUGAAACGAAGAUGCCACAGCUUAGCUUAGGCUGGCUAUCUUGAAGUUCAGAUUACUGAAGAUUUAUCAUUGGAGUUGUUUGUUCAGCUGGCCCUCUUAGCGUGCCCCUGUUGAAGAUCAAAGCCUGCCUUGCAGGUUUUGCUGGUUGCAUACCUGUGUGUUAAACUCCCAAUGAAAAUAUAUGAAUUUGAGCGAGAAGCCUUCACCAAGGAUACGAUUUUGUUGAAAUCUGUAAUGAGAAAGAUUCUGAUUAUGGAAUCAAUAAUGGUCCUUUUCUCAAGUUACUCUAGCUCCCUUUUCCUUGUUAAAGUUUUCUACUUCCAA